rnacentral:lncRNA from 1 species
CCAGAUUUCCUAGCUUCCAUGUUGAGCUUAAAGUUUUGAUAUAGUAUGGAUGUAUCCAUCUUAGCCACAACCUAUCUUGUUUGGGAGUGAGUUCACAAUACAUUUUUGCUAUAGCUGCUUUGUUCCAGAUUUGUAGGUUGAAAGGCACACUGUGUCUCAAGCAACUUAUGCUCUUUCGGUGAUGGUAUUGUCCCUGACCUGACAUAACUUCUACAAUAAUCAUCUCCAGUCUUCACCACUUUGUUAGGCAAUUGGGACCAAUAAGAUUGAAUACUAAAUAAAACAGAUUGGACCAGUUGAAUCCUUUCUGUAAAUGAAAGCUUUCAGCCCUGAUGCUAAUGAAAUGUUGUGAACAUAGCUUUGUUUCAUGCAGCAUUGCCAAAUAUAAGGCAUUUACAUGGUACCCUAUACCCUCUCCAAGAAGUUUCGAAUAGAUUUGUCUGAUUAGCCCUUUAGGAUUAGUGACUAUAUGUUGAAUCUGCUCCCAGAUUUCCUAGCUUCCAUGUUGAGCUUAAAGUUUUGAUAUAGUAUGGAUGUAUCCAUCUUAGCCACAACCUAUCUUGUUUGGGAGUGAGUUCACAAUACAUUUUUGCUAUAGCUGCUUUGUUCCAGAUUUGUAGGUUGAAAGGCACACUCUGUCUCAAGCAACUUAUGCUCUUUCGGUGAUGGUAUUGUCCCUGACCUGACAUGACUUCUACAAUAAUCAUCUCCAGUCUUCACCACUUUGUUAGGCAAUUGGGACCAAUAAGAUUGAAUACUAAAUAAAACAGAUUGGACCAGUUGAAUCCUUUCUGUAAAUGAAAGCUUUCAGCCCUGAUGCUAAUGAAAACUGAUUAAAGCAGACACUUCAAGCAUUAAGAGAAUCGAAAUCACCUCUAACAAACAGUAGCAAGUCAUCAGCGCAGCUUAAACGAGUCACUUCCAUCUUACUUAGGAUGAAAUUUGUACUUUCUAUUAUGUUUCAGAUUAGUAAAGCAUCUAUUUAGGUUUGUCUGUUAAAUAUUCAUCUGCAUGUCAUUCUUUGGGAAGAUCAAGUCUAGGUAUCUAAAUUGUUUGCAUGUAGACACUAAAAUAUUGCCUAAUCUCACUUCACUUC